UAGGGAAUCUUCCACAAUGGACGAAAGUCUGAUGGAGCAACGCCGCGUGAGUGAAGAAGGGUUUCGGCUCGUAAAGCUCUGUUGUUAAAGAAGAACGUGGGUAAGAGUAACUGUUUACCCAGUGACGGUAUUUAACCAGAAAGCCACGGCUAACUACGCGCCAG
rnacentral:rRNA from 1 species